AACGAACGCUGGCGGCAGGCCUAACACAUGCAAGUCGAGCGCGCCCUUCGGGGUUAGCGGCGGACGGGUGAGUAACGCGUGGGAACGUGCCCUUUUCUACGGAAUAGCCUCGGGAAACUGAGAGUAAUACCGUAUACGCCCUUUGGGGGAAAGAUUUAGCGGAAAAGGAUGGGCCCGCGUUGGAUUAGGUAGUUGGUGGGGUAAUGGCCUACCAAGCCGACGAUCCAUAGCUGGUUUGAGAGGAUGAUCAGCCACACUGGGACUGAGACACGGCCCAGACUCCUACGGGAGGCAGCAGUGGGGAAUCUUAGACAAUGGGGGCAACCCUGAUCUAGCCAUGCCGCGUGAGUGAUGAAGGCCUUAGGGUUGUAAAGCUCUUUCAGCUGGGAAGAUAAUGACGGUACCAGCAGAAGAAGCCCCGGCUAACUCCGUG
rnacentral:rRNA from 1 species